ensembl:lncRNA
GCCAACCCUUUUCAACUUUCCAGCUCAUCUUCAAAGUUCUGUAGCAACAAGAAGCACAACCACAGCUAAAAGAGCGGAAGACAACCUUGCAAUGGACUUGAUGCCUGGUGUUGGAGCUACUGGAGAGAGGAGAUUGAGCCGCAAGCGGCAGGCCACUGACGACCACUUGUAUGCAUUGCCUGUUUGCCCUACGGCUAUGAAGGCCAAACUUGAAGAAGCCUCAGCGAGAGUGAGGAAACAGGGCCAAGAACAACAUGCAGGCUGUUCUGGAGGAACUGAAGGAGAAAAACCUCAUCAACGAAGAGCUGAAAGACAAGCUUGAAUGCUAUGACUUUUUCUAAUUGAAUUUCAGAUCUUCCGGUUCAUCUCCUGUCGAGGCAAGGCGUAGAGUACACCAAGGCCCAGAGAGAUCUUGCCCUUACGCUCCAUCUGCAUGGUCCAAAUGCAUAUCACUACCUGAGAGAUACUCUGCACAUUGACCUGCCACAUCCCAGUUCACUGCAUUCAAGGUCUCCCUGGCUGCUCAGACUUUGAGUAACUCUGUGGCAGUGGCGCUCCGCACCUUGCAGGACGUGGGCUAUGCAGAGUUCAAAGAUUGUGAGGCUACUUCUGAAUUAAUUAAGGUUCCUCUCUGUCAUGGGCUUCGUCAUAAACAUUGACACGUUGAUGUCGAUGGUUCCUGUGCUGCUCGAAGGACAGCGAUAUGUCCUGACCUACAGAUUCAGCCAGGACCAUUUGGAACUUCUCUUUAACUCCAUCAGAGCAUCCG